rnacentral:rRNA from 1 species
UACGUAGGGGGCAAGCGUUGUCCGGAAUCAUUGGGCGUAAAGAGCGUGUAGGCGGCCAGAUAGGUCUGCUGUGAAAACUCGAGGCUCAACCUCGAGCUGUCGGCGGAAACCAUUUGGCUAGAGUGCGGAAGAGGCGAGUGGAAUUCCUGGUGUAGCGGUGAAAUGCGCAGAUAUCAGGAGGAACACCUAUUGCGAAGGCAGCUCGCUGGGACGUAACUGACGCUGAGACGCGAAAGCUAGGGGAGCGAACGGG